AGGUCAGUCCGGGCAAUUGCUUCCCACUUUUGUGAGAGGAGGAAAGUCCGAACUUUAUAGAACAGGGUGCCGGGUAACACCCGGGGAUAUUAGGAGAAAUUUUAAUAUCACUGCAAGUGCCACAGAAAAUAAACUUCCCGGUUUAUGACGGGUAAAGGUGAAAAGGCGGGGUAAGAGCCCACCGCUUUGAUGGUAACAUCAAAGGCAAGGUAAACCACACCCGAAGCAAGGUCAAAUAGGAAGAUUCUUUCCGGCAUUGCCGGAAAACAGGGUUGUUCGCUCUGAUAAUCUUCGGGUAGACCGCUAAAGCCCAAUAGUAAUAUUGGAUUAAGAUAAAUAAUUGCCGCUGCUUCGCUAACACUUCGCAGGACUGGUUAUUCUGUAUAACCGAUCCUAUGAAGCUCAACUUUCGUUGAACGAAGUAGGACAGAAUUCGGCUUACAGGGCUGCUCUAUUU
rnacentral:RNase_P_RNA from 1 species